ensembl:lncRNA
GGUGGGGGUAUAAAAUCCCUUAGAUUUGUCCUCCAGUCAUUCACUGUGAAAAAGCCAUCGACAGGACUAAGCGGCUGAGAAAGAAACCGACAACAAAAUGGCUAAAAUGUUGACGGCUUACAUUGGAUUCAUUCUCCUUGCCUUGCCUUGUUCAUCACAGAUGAGUCUUAUUAUAACGCCAAAAUGUAUUCGAAAUCUAACGUGCCUUAGGCGGCGCAAUUUUGAAUCCAGGAAUGACAGUUGACCUAUAUGCUAUGAACACAUUUCCCACAAGGUCCACGCGCAAAACACUACCACAAAGUCCCCUGCCAUGACUGCUAUGACCGAAGCUGGCGGCGCGAGUUCCAACAUGACCAAGAUGCCCGAUGUUGUCGCUACCAAGAACAUCACCAUUCCCAAAGGAGCCAGUGUGUCCUUGCUGUCCAGCUCGGUCACGCUCUUUUCCAUCGCGUUGGCGGGCGCUUUCCUACACGGCCGCUUCUAGAAGGCUCCUGUGCACUGAACAGAUACUGCAAUGACUAACAUCAGUGGCCUAGAUGGGGAAAUUGUUUUAGGAAGAGCACACUUUUAUAACUUAAAGGCAGUCGUGUUCGCCUAACCAUAGAUUGAGUGCAAUUAGGCUGUUGCAGUGCUGCAGAACAUCUUUCUAAUUCACUGAUGGGAUUUCUUAUUUGGGGAUCACACCUCCCUGGCCACUUCAAACCAGUAGGCCUAUACAACUUGUGCACUGGCCAUAGGGCCUAUGGUGUGGACCCCUCCAUGGCGGCAGGCCAUGACGAGGAUGUGUGAAACUAGACUCUUUGGUCCCACUGGUCUUGUGUAGAUGGCAGUUUUUUUUUUAAAUGUAUGAAGUGUAAAUUUGCGCAGUGUUUGGUUAGUCUACUAAUAUAAGGAAGUUGGGGUGCAUUGUGGAACAUAAUGUAUCCAGUAGUCUGAUCUUUGUCAUGCAUUGGUGUAGUAUUUCUAAACCUGCAACGGACACUAAAGCUUGUGAUUAUUUGAAGUAUCAAUUUAGUUUAAAUUGUCAUGUUAACUAAUUAUUUGAAAUGUACUUGUGACAAAAUGUAUUUGUUCUUGUAGGCUACAAUAAAAUUUCAUGGGCCUAACUGAUUUGUGUCUCUGUAGUCUAAAGCUUGACGUGCCAACUAAUUGGCUCUGUUCCAUUUGUCUCCAGACCUGGCUAAGCUAUCGUGGCCUAGUAGGAAAGGCGCCCACUGAACACCUCG